rnacentral:tRNA from 1 species
CAGGGCUGGAGGGACUUGAACCCCCAACCGCCGGUUUUGGAGACCGGUGCUCUACCAGCUUGAGCUACAGCCCU